CAUGGGAAGGGAAGUUAUUUCACGCGGGCAUAGCUGCCAGCGACACUGAUUGAUUACUCCACACCUAAUUUCUCUUGCUGGGAGCAACUGCAUCUGGAGCUGAGUGCACACACUUCGGAGGCCGUCACCUGUCAAUCAUUCCUAUAAUUGAUGAUUCGGCCAAUCCUGUGUCUGCUCAACCCCCUGCGAAGGAAACUUGUACUGUAUCCACUCAGAACAGCCAGCUGCCAGUCAAAGCUUGUCACACACAGUCUUUUCCCCUGCUAGACAAAAUCAGUCAAUCCUCAUCUCACAGUUCGUCCAUAUGGAAUCAGCCCUUCUGUCAAUCAGACCGCAGAUGACUGAAUCUAUAAGAAUGAAGGCCGAGGUUGCUAGCGCAGCAAGACCGAGGCAUCCCUGAAGAUCCUGGACUCUUAAUUAUGGUGAAAUAAUCGGUGUGUGCAGCGUAGCCUCGGGCUGCCAGCCCCAGAGGUGUGCUCUACACAGACACACGGAGAACACAGAGCAGAGAAGAUACUGGUUCUGCUCUGAAAACACUCACGUUCAGCCAAAGCAGACAGGUUUAAAUACAUCUGUGACAAAGGUAUUAAUGAUCUGGUUUUCAAAUGUCAAUA